UGAACCAGCAACUUGGAAGAAGGUAUAGCAAUAGCUAAUUGUAUUAGCAAAUAGUUUUUACAAUAUCGAUUUAAUCGACUAAAAUUCUAGGUAGAUUUAUGAUGAUGACAUUAUCUAUCUAUGUGUCUUGACCAAAUUUCGUGCCAGCAGUCGCGGUAAGACGUAAGAGACUAGUGUUAUUCAUCUUUAAUAGGUUUAAAGCGUACCUAGACGGUAAUUAAAGCCUAUAUCAGGAACUUGUUUACUAGAGUUAAAUGUAAGGGUGUAUUAAAGUACUGUUGAGUGUAGAGAUGAAAUUCGUUGAUACCAAAUAAUUGGCACAGGUAUAGGCGAAAGCAUCACUUUAUGUAAUAACUGACGUUGACGGACGAAGGCUUUGUGUCGCGAACAGGAUUAGAUACCCCAGUAGUCUUAGCAGAAAACUAUGAGUGUCAUAGGUUAGAUUUUAUUUGGUCUAUAAAUGAAAGUGUAAGCACUCCACCUCAAGAGUAAUUUGGCAACAUUGGAACUGAAAUCAUUAGACCGUUUCUGAAACCAGUAGUGAAGUAUGUUGUUUAAUUUGAUAAUCCGCAAAGAACCUUACCACAAUUUGAAUAUAAAUGAUUUAUUUUUACAAGCGUUGCACGGCUGUCUUCAGUUAAUGUCGUGAGAUAUUGGUUUAUUCCAUUAAAUUAACGUAAACCCGUACUUUAUUUUUAUAUAAAGUUGUUCAUUCGCUAUAAUGGAUGUGAUAACAGGGACUAAGACAAGUCAUCAUGG
rnacentral:rRNA from 1 species